rnacentral:lncRNA from 1 species
AGGGUUGCAAUUGUACGUGUUUGAACAAAAUCCUCCCCUGCAUCCAACAAUUUCGCGAUGCCAAAAUCACUGACAUGGCCAACCAUUUCUUGAUCUAGCAAGACAUUGCUUGGUUUUAAGUCGCAAUGCACCACAGGUGAUGAAUAACCAUUGUGGACAGACAUUGCUUGGUUUUAAGUCGCAAUGCACCACAGGUGUUGAAUAGCCAUUGUGGAGAUAGUCCAUGGCAGAUGCAACAUCUAUCAUUAUAUCUAAUCUAUGCAUCAUGUCUAAGAAAAGGUUAUGAGAAUAUAGCCAUUUUUCAAGUGUUCCUUUCGGCAUGUAUUACAAUACUAAGGCUUUGAAAUCAAGGUUGGAGCAACUAGUGAUGACUUUAGUAAGAUUUCGAUGGCGGAGGUUGCGCAACAUCUCACAUUC